GAGAUAUUUUUUGAUAGGGGGAAAGCUUAUUUUACCCAACGAUGACCCGGAAUCAAAUAACCUAGACUAAAAUCAGCUUUCCCUCUAAUAAAAAUGGCUUUCCCCUAUUAAUUAUCUAAAUUAUCGCCACAGAUCGAAGUUAACGCCGGGUAAUUCGAGUUUUUCAUUUGGUUUGUAUAUCCGAUUUAUCAGAGGCUUAAAAAUCCUAGGGUUUUAGCAUAUGUUCUGGAUUCGAGGCGACUGGGAGGAAUAGACGAAGAAGAGAUUUAUUGUUUCUUCAUCUUAUCUAGCAGGUUACUUGCAGCAAGAAAUCGUUGAAACCCUAAUUCAUAAAAUUCAAGCUUUAGUUAGUCUCAGUUCCAACCAAAAUCUAAGUCUUGCAGUGGUUUGUCUCAAAUUCGUAUUCGGUUUUUGGGUAUUUAUUUUUCUGGGAUUGAUUAGGGUUUUUGGUUGAUUGAUGUUGCUUUCUUCACUGCAUUAUUUCUGGCAAUAUUUUGUUGUUGACAGUUAAACCAACGUUACAGAUCCAGCUUAUUAUUAUUAUUUUUUGUUGAUAAUUAGGUCCAUAUUAUAUCUGCAUAUUUGUAUACAUCAGCAAUGAUUCGUUUUCUUCUGUUUCAUGAAAAUAACAAGAUGGAAGCUAUGCUGGCGAUGCCCAGAAAAUUCGAAACAACUGCUAUUAACUAAACUGGGUUUGUGUUUAUACGCCUAAUCUUUGCUACUAGAGAAGUGUUUGUGAUUAGGUAUAUCAACACUAACCCACUUAAAGUUAGCAAAUAGUAAGAUUGUUCAUUGUGCUCCUGCUGUUUUCUUGGAUUGGAUGGUCAGGUCUUGGAUCACAUAGCAGAGCUUGGAAUGUCAGGUCUUGGAUCACAUAGCAGAUUGAUGCCUCAUUGCUGAUGCCCUGUUUGCUAACUUACUAUUCAAGCGUAUGCAAUGUAAAUCAUCAAACCUUUUCAGGAAUGAUGCUUUAGACACGGAUUGAAGUAUAAGAUUAACAAAACCAAAGUUCAGUAUGCCAGAACUGCAAAAUAAGUCAGACCUUUCAUGCGUCAAAGGUUCCCUCUGAGAUCAUACACAAGAAUUCGUUAAAGUUCUCAAUAUGGUAAUUCCAUAACACAUAUUAUUCCAUGAUAUUCGACUGCAUGCUUACAUUAUUUCUCAAUUGUUAAAAUUCAAAUUUGCAUUGAAAUUGUUUUUUUUUUUCUAAUGAGUGACUUCUGUGCAUCAAGCAUAGCAAGGCAAACAUGCGCUAUUCAAAAUACAUGCAUGUGCUAAUUAUUGGAGGAUUCUUGAACCUUUACGGAUUUUAGAUAUUAGAAUAUUUCAAUGCUUGGGGAUUGACAGUGCAUAUACCAAUCCAUGCUCCACCUAUACCAGUAAGCUACGCAAGGUUGUCUAUUCGUCUUCAUACGCACGGAGCUGCUCGCCAACCUUUUAGUUACUGAUCUCAAGCAUUCCGUAAUAUAGUGCACUCCUUCUCUGGUAUCGAGACCGACCCUCACCUUUUAGCAGUGGUUAUCAGUACCUCCUCAAUCCACAAACAACGAUGUUAAGUUUCGUUGUUUUCGCCACAAGGAGAUCGGCCGAUAGCAUAUUUGGAUGUAAGCCACAAUCCGGAACAUUAUACAGUGCGUUCAUGGGCUUUGCAUAUUGUGUGGUCUCUUAAACUUGAUAUUUACAUGCUUCUAACCCAGAUUUGGAUGACCCCACGGAUCAUCCAAUUGAACACCGUAGUCUUCCAUUUACGACUUCCUUUUCUGCUGGAAUUGUUCAGUUCACACCUGGGUUUCUCAGGUAAUUCAGCAUUAUAUUUCUCAGGUAAUAUAGCACCCACUGUACCCUUGGAUUGUAUCAGGAAUUGGCUGCUAAUGUAGAAAUCUUCUGUGUUAUUACAUUUCGGUAAUAGUGAUGUGCCACAAUGAUAUUUUAUGUUCAUUAACCAUGAGCUGCUUGGAAGGUAUGUCUUCAGCUUAAAUAAAAUUUUAUUUUUUUCCCCUUCGCUUAUACCGAGUAUCAACGUUGAUAUUCAUGCAUGCAUGUUUAGUGUAUCUAUUGGCACUUUUUGCCGUCGGUUUUGUGAUAGGAAUUACCUUCUGAAUGCAAUCUGUUUGAGAGAUUGCAUAAUUCUAUUAGUUAUGUUUUGGUUUGAGUUUGCUAUUAGUUGGGAGAAUCUGUGGCUUUAAUGGAUUGUCUUUUAAGGAUAAGGGAGGUCAAGGAAGAAGUCAGCUUCGUAGUAAGGAUGGUUUCAACUGUUAUGUUUGUAAUCUUAAGUAUCUGUAAAUUCAAAAAAUCAAGGAUGCAUAAUAGUUGGUAAUUCCCAUUAUACAAAAAUUUGGACUAUAUAGUGAGGAUGAUAACAGUUGGACUUACGCUCCUGAUGAGAUGAUACCAGUUGGACUUCUCAAAUAUGUGCAGACAAGCUUGAUGAAUGUAUGACAUUUUCAGUUUCCAAGGUAUAAAUUCUUAACAGAACUAUACAAUCAAGAGGAGCAGCACAUAAGAAUUAAUUUUCCUCGGCCAACUGCUGUGAGGUUUCAGGAGGACACUAUGGGAUACUAGAUCUGCUCAAUAUGGAUAUAUAUAUAUAUAUAUGUUUUCUUUUGAUGAUAUAUGUCUGCAUGUGUGUGGAACAAUGUAUAUGUGUAAGCAUACCGACCUAGAUGAUUCUAAUUGAGUUGUGCGUUUUCUUAACUGUUGUAACCAUGGCCUGCAGGACAGCGUUUUUCGGAGUGUACAAGAGCUGGGGAGGAGUAUCUUGGGAAAAAGAACUGGACUAUGAAACAGCCCAUCCCUUCAUUGCCAAGAGCUUCGUCAAUGGAAGGCUCCUUCUGAUGCUUGAACCUCUCUUUCGUAUACAUUUGUUUCUUUGGUGUUAUUAGAAAUCCACAAAAUUGUACCUAGAGAAGUCCUCAUAUAGACAGUUGGCUCAUACAUUCCAAAUUCAUAUAUUGUUCAUUUUGUUGUGUCUACCAUAAUUGUUUCGAUUUAGUGCAAAUGUCUUAUAUGGACGAGAAUUACUAACAUUUCCUUAUUGCAGGCGUGGGCCUCUACCAGGAACCUGACUAUGAAAGUCGGUGAAUGCACAGUCUUAUCUAUGUACGCAAGCUCCUCAACAAUCAUUAAAGUGACCAUGAAACAACAUCAGCGCCUGCAUAACCAUUGAAGUGACUGCAUAUGGCUACAUGUUGAUGGAGAGUGUGCCUAACUUAUUUUAUUGAGUUGAAGGAUGUUGCACACUCUUCAUCCUCAACAAGAAGUAUGACUGAUCUCUUCUGUAGGGAUUGAUGGGUGAUUUGACAAUCAUUAAAGUGACCAUGAAACAACAUCAACGCUUGCAUAACCACUAAAGUGACUGCAGAUGGCUACAGUUAGGUUCAGCUGGAUAUCCUUACCGGAGAGGGCUCAGUUGGACGUGUUUAUCAAUAUCAAUUUAAUGACGCUAAGAGAAUGUUCGCGUCAAGGUGCACGUGAUUCCAGAUGUAAACCUAUAGAAGAAUGUUUAAGAAAAAGUGAACAAACUAAUUUGAGGACUGGGUGUAAGGCAAAAGAAAAGAAGAUAAAUGGGUUAUUUCUCGCAUUGUAGAAGAGCAUAAUCAUAAGCUUGCGGGUGUAAAUGAGAGACAUAAACUGAGAUCGAUAAAGAGGGUAGCAAGUGACCAAACGGAUAUGUUACAGAAAAUGCAGCAGGCUGGGUUAAGGUCGGAUCUAAUGACGACUUUUAUGAACCUUGAAGGAAGAGGAAGUAGUGUUAUUGGAGGUGAAGUAAGGAAGUUUUUGAGUAUAAAACAGCAGAGGGAGCUUAUAGAGGGAGAUAUAGAAGCUAUACUUCAUUACUUUGAGU